rnacentral:rRNA from 1 species
UCCUGGCUCAGAACGAACGCUGGCGGCGUGGAUAAGACAUGCAAGUCGCACGGAGAAAAGAUAGUUUACUAGCUUCUCUGAGUGGCGCACGGGUGAGUAACACGUGAGCAACCUGCCUCUUAGUGGGGGAUAGCCCUGGGAAACCGGGAUUAAUACCGCAUAUCAUCGCAAGAUGAAAGCAGCAAUGCGCUAAGAGAGGGGCUCGCGGCCUAUUAGUUAGUUGGUGAGGUAACGGCUCACCAAGGCGAUGACGGGUAGCCGGUCUGAGAGGAUGUCCGGCCACACUGGAACUGAGACACGGUCCAGACACCUACGGGUGGCAGCAGUCGAGAAUCAUUCACAAUGGGGGAAACCCUGAUGGUGCGACGCCGCGUGGGGGAAGAAGGUCUUCGGAUUGUAAACCCCUGUCAUGUGGGAGCAAGCUAGCAAUAGUUGAUAGUACCACAAGAGGAAGAGACGGCUAACUCUGUGCCAGCAGCCGCGGUAAUACAGAGGUCUCAAGCGUUGUUCGGAAUCACUGGGCGUAAAGGGUACGUAGGCUGUACCAUAAGUCGGGCGUG